rnacentral:rRNA from 1 species
CCUACGGGAGGCAGCAGUGAGGAAUAUUGGUCAAUGGGCGCGAGCCUGAACCAGCCAAGUAGCGUGAAGGAUGACUGCCCUACGGGUUGUAAACUUCUUUUAUAAAGGAAUAAAGUGCUGCACGUGUGCCUUUUUGUAUGUACUUUAUGAAUAAGGAUCGGCUAACUCCGUGCCAGCAGCCGCGGUAAUACGGAGGAUCCGAGCGUUAUCCGGAUUUAUUGGGUUUAAAGGGAGCGUAGAUGGGUUGAUAAGUUAGUUGUGAAAGUUUGAUGCUCAACCGUAAAAUUGCAAUUGAUACUGGAAGUCUAGAGAUCAGAUGCGGCAGGCGGAAGGUGUGGUGUAGCGGUGAAAUGCAUAGAUAUCACACAGAACACCGAUUGCGAAGGCAGCUUACUAAGCUGCAACUGACAUUGAUGCACGAAAGUGUGGGGAUCAAACAGGAUUAGAUACCCUAGUAGUC